AUUGAAUGCUGGCGGCAGGCCUAACACAUGCAAGUCGAGCGGCAGCGGGAAGUAGCUUGCUACUUUGCCGGCGAGCGGCGGACGGGUGAGUAAUGUCUGGGAAACUGCCUGAUGGAGGGGGAUAACUACUGGAAACGGUAGCUAAUACCGCAUAACGUCGCAAGACCAAAGAGGGGGACCUUCGGGCCUCUUGCCAUCAGAUGUGCCCAGAUGGGAUUAGCUGGCAGGUGGGGUAAUGGCCUACCUGGGCGACGAUCCCUAGCUGGUCUGAGAGGAGGACCAGCCACACUGGAACUGAGACCCGGUCCAGACUCCUACGGGAGGCAGCAGUGGGGAAUAUUGCACAAUGGGCGCAAGCCUGAUGCAGCCAUGCCGCGUGUGUGAAGAAGGCCUUCGGGUUGUAAAGCACUUUCAGCGAGGAGGAAGGCAGUGAGGUUAAUAACCUUACUGAUUGACGUUACUCGCAGAAGAAGCACCGGCUAACUCCGUGCCAGCAGCCGCGGUAA
rnacentral:rRNA from 1 species